rnacentral:rRNA from 1 species
UACGUAGGGGGCAAGCGUUGUCCGGAUUUAUUGGGCGUAAAGAGCGUGUGGGCGGCCAGGGAGGUCCGUUGUGAAAACUCGAGGCUCAACCUCGAGACGCCGAUGGAAACCCCCUGGCUAGAGUCCGGAAGAGGAGAAUGGAAUUCCUGGUGUAGCGGUGAAAUGCGCAGAUAUCAGGAAGGACACCCGUGGCUAAGGCGGUUCUCUAGUACGGUACUGACGCUGAGACGCGAAAGCGUGGGGAGCGAACAGG